AGCUACAUAUGAGGUGAAGAUGAAUUCCACACGCUUGUGUAUUUUUGGCUUGUAUCUGUUUUGUGUAAUGAGAAUAGGUUGUGGGCUUUUAUCAUGAAAUUUUCGACUUUUGCUUGUGGUUUCAAUGGCCUACAUCAGAUAGGUUCUUUAGAUGAUGCAUCUGUGUCAACUUGGUGUCGAAUAAAUGAUGCAUUGGAAUGUGAACCAUGUUUGUCACUUUCUUGGGAUUCUCUCAACAUAUGUGCUAAUGGGCAUGUCCAACGAAAUGGAAUUACUAUCAAAGCACCACCUGGAUGUGAACAAGAAACACCAAGCAUGCUGUGUUCUGCUGAAGAUCGGCUGGUGGCUCUGUAUCCUGAUGGCUCCACCUGGCUAAGGACAACUGCCUGGCGCCGACUAGCACUCCAGUCAGCUGGCCAGGAGACUGCUGAGCCUGCACGUCAUGUGGCUCACUGCUGACCCUGGACGGGGUACCGACACCGGCCGGUGAAUGGCUGCAGGCGGUCUCCUGCGGCCGAGAGCACGUGGUGCUGCUCACACGCUCCGGACGAGUGUUCACCUACGGUGGCGGCAGCCGAGGUCAGCUGGGGACCGGCGAGCUGAGCUCCUCGGACGUGCCUCAGCUGGUGACCGCCCUGGACGGACUCGCCAUCACCCAGGUGUGCGCCGGCGGAUGGCACACGGCAGCGCUGUCGAGCUCCGGUGACGUGUACACCUGGGGCUGGAACGAGUCCGGCCAGCUCGGGCUCGGAGACGCGGUGAACGUGGCUGCCGAGCCGGCGCUGGUGGACGCGCUUCCCAGUGACGUCACCGUCACUCAGCUGGCCUGCGGCUUGCGACACACGCUGGCGCUGCUCGAGGACGGCUCGGUGAUCGGCUGGGGUUGGAACGGUCAUAGUCAGCUGGCCCUGCCGCCCUGUGACCGGUCACUGCCCCGGGCCCUGCCGCUGCCGGAGCGAGGCACCGUAGUCAGGGUAGCCGCCGGUGGCUGGAACUCCGCUCUGGUAACCCGGGAGGACAGCUGAUGAGUCUUCGGUGACCGGUGCAGUGAAGUAGCGUGCUUUGUAAAAUUGAAAGAUAUUUCGGGGUGCGCCUAACCGGGCAUGAUGGCGAGCCCAAGGCGAUAAGGCGAGCCCUUUUAUGGCGUGCGUCAUAAAUUCGAAGUAUCCGGUACUAAAGCUGAUUUUGCCAGCGUGUAUCGUUUUCAGAUCGGGUAUUUGGUCGUGAUCACAGCACCUUGCCUCUGCUAUGUGAUGUGGGGAUUUGGGAGGGCUUUGUCAUAAAAUGGUGGGGUAUGCAAUGAAAUGUAUUUUGUUUGCUUGAUAAGGUUACUUUUUGCAGUGUUUUCUUAAGCUUUUAGUUAUGGAAGGCUUAGCUUUUCGAAUUUCGAAAGGGUUAGCAUAGUGUAAAUGUACGCUUACCGUCGAAUGUGAUGCUUUGACGACAGAAGGUGCAAAUGUGUUCAUGUCAUUUGUUAUCAUUUUUCGGAAAAGAUUGGUUAUGCGCAUUCAGAGUGUUCUGUUUUAGGUAAGUUUCACUCAAUAUGCAUGAGAGUUCUCAAGAGAAGGGAUUUCUCGAAUAAAUGCUGUUUUUGUUGAG
rnacentral:misc_RNA from 1 species